AUUGAACGCUGGCGGCAUGCUUUACACAUGCAAGUCGAACGGCAGCGCGGGCUUCGGCCUGGCGGCGAGUGGCGAACGGGUGAGUAAUACAUCGGAACGUGCCCAGUAGUGGGGGAUAGCUCGGCGAAAGCCGGAUUAAUACCGCAUACGACCUGAGGGUGAAAGCGGGGGAUCUUCGGACCUCGCGCUAUUGGAGCGGCCGAUGGCCGAUUAGCUAGUUGGUGGGGUAAAGGCCUACCAAGGCGACGAUCUGUAGCUGGUCUGAGAGGACGACCAGCCACACUGGAACUGAGACACGGCCCAGACUCCUACGGGAGGCAGCAGUGGGGAAUUUUGGACAAUGGGCGAAAGCCUGAUCCAGCAAUGCCGCGUGUGUGAUGAAGGCCUUCGGGUUGUAAAGCACUUUUGGCGGGAACGAAAAGGACUGUGCCAAUACCACGGUUCGAUGACGGUACCCGCAGAAUAAGCACCGGCUAACUACGUG
rnacentral:rRNA from 1 species